GUGACAUGCGCACUGCACGGAGCUCUCACAAGCCGCGGACGCAGCGCCUGGGAAAAAAUAAAGCGCUCAGCCUGCUUCUUGAUAUCUCGCCGUCUCUCAAUAAGCUGUAAUGACUUGUCCCGCUGGGAAAGUGUCAAACGCGGUAUUCGGUACAGGUAAAUUUCCCCUGCGGACCGGUGGAGGUGGUGGAUGUGCUGUUCUUGAAGCUCAGUGGGGACCUGUUGAUAGCCCACCGGCGCUGCAAUGGAGGUGCCGUACAGAGAAGAAUGACAUCUAACUAAUGCAGGAAGUCACAAAGCAACAAUUCAUCUGAGUGAUCUGUCAGACUAUGACGGGAAUUAUGGAUACUCAGUGUGCCUUGGAGGCUGUAGAGAGACUGCAAGCCAAACUGAAAGAGAGAGGAGAGGCCCCCGCACAGGAGAAGCUCUCCCUGCUAAAGACUGUCCUGCAAAGCCCCCUGUUCCAUCAUAUACUCAGCUUACAGCAAGCUCAGCGGAAGCCCCCGGUGAAGGGGAAGGGUAUUUCCAAAUCUGUGUCCUUGAACUGUGGCCCCUGCCUGGGAACGGCUCUGGGUUUGAAGACACUGAGUCACAGUGACUCGUACACAUGGGCCAUGGAAAAUCAAAGGCCCGGCACUACCAGAUCCUUACACAGGGACGGCAGCAUGUCCUCUCUGGGCUCAGAGGAGCUGUCCUUCUCAGACAUGUACUCUGACAACUGCAUUCACACUGAAUCACAGUACUGCACUCCCCCUCGAAUCUCCCGCACUAUGUCAAUGGGUAGAAACCUGUCUGCCAUUGCCCAUGAGGUAAAGUAAUGUGACAUGUGAGGGGGUCUACUGUAGAGUUAAAUGUGUGGUUGUAGAUAAACAAUACAAUCAAAUGCAGUUUUAACUGUUUGAUGCAGUUUCACUUUUUUUUUUUUUUUUUUUGCAAGUUUAAUUAGAAUAGAUUUUCAAUCCAUCUUCUUUCUCUCUCUCUCUCUCUCUCUCUUGCUCUAACAUCUGGUGCCAGAGGCGUCAUGUGGAGAUGAUUGAGCUGAACAAUGAUGGAAAGGGGCUUGGCUUUGGGAUAAUAGGGGGGCGGAGCACCGGA
ensembl:lncRNA